CGGUGGAUGAUGUGGAUUAAUUCGAUGCAACGCGAAAACCUUACCUACCCUUGACAUGCCAGGAACCUUGCUGAGAGGCGAGGGUGCCUUCGGGAGCCUGGACACAGGUGCUGCAUGGCUGUCGUCAGCUCGUGUCGUGAGAUGUUGGGUUAAGUCCCGCAACGAGCGCAACCCUUGUCACUAGUUGCCAUCAUUUAGUUGGGCACUCUAGUGAGACUGCCGGUGACAAACCGGAGGAAGGUGGGGAUGACGUCAAGUCCUCAUGGCCUUUAUGCCCAGGGCUACACACGUGCUACAAUGGGUGGUACAAAGAGAUGCCAACUCGCGAGAGCGCGCCAAUCUCAGAAAGCCAUCCUCAGUUCGGAUUGGAGUCUGCAACUCGACUCCAUGAAGUUGGAAUCGCUAGUAAUCGCGGAUCAGCACGCCGCGGUGAAUACGUUCCCGGGCCUU
rnacentral:rRNA from 1 species